GGGUUCUUCUAUCCAAGAGGAAGUCAGUCCUCUGAAGACCAAGUUUGCGUACUGGACAAUUUGAGCUGACAGCAGCUGCCAACUCAUGCUCGGCUCUUCACGGUGGACUGUCUCUUGUGCAGGUCAGCUUGUCCUGGCAGAUGCUAUCCAUGGCAGUGCUUCCCUGCCUGGGCCUGGGGAGAGGCCCUCCUGGGAGAUUCCUCUUCUGGCUGAGCCUGUACCUGGGCCUGUGUGCAGAAAAACCACCUACAAGGACUCCUCAAACUCACAAUAAACAUAGACUGUUCUCAUAGGACUCAGACUCUCUUGGACAGAAAUCUUCGUCCCCGUGAAAUGCUGCCAUGUCCCGAGAGACAAGGUGGGUGAGUUCUCUAACCUGAUGAUGUGAAGUUGGUUUCCUCUGAACAUCUGGUACAAGGGGACCAUCUGGGCCGGCCCCCAAAGCCACGUUGUUAUUUAUGCCCGUGGACUUAGGGCCACAGGAAUCAAUGAUUAUGAGGCAAACCCUGACAAGAUCAUGUUUCAGGGUGUCUCCCCUGUGAUAGAAAGAACAUGACCCCAUGUUCUUUCCAUGCCUGUUGGAACAAGAGAGUACACGUUUCUGCCACCCAGGCUCUGGCUGUGCAUGUGGUCUUGCUAGCUGAGAACUAUGCUUGACACCGGAGAUAAAGCACUGCAGGGGAAGUAUCGUGUCUUCUGGGAUCCUAGAGCAGAUUCAAGGGAAAAGAUCAUGAAGUCCUGUAUUACAAAGUCUCCAGUUCCAUUUCAAAGAACCUCCUCCAAACCUGUUAAAAGCAUCACUGGUCCAAAAACUGAAAUGGAGAAGAGACUUGGGAUCUCAGGAACUUCGGUGCCCCACGUGGUUCAGCCAAUCUCUCAUGUUAUUCAGCAAGCACGCACAGAGAGCAUCCUGGCCACCAAGUUGCCAGAGACAAGUGAGAAGAAUCUUUUGAAAAUAGCCUCUUCUUCAACCUCUGUAGAAACAUCAGUCUUUGAUACAAGGUGGUCAGAAAACUCAGAAAAGAGUACUUUUGCCUGGGCCUCAGCAGAGAGGUCCCUUCCAGCAUUGCAAGUUCCAUAACAAGUUCCAUGGUGACCACCAAACUGGCAGCUUGGUCCUCACUUGUAGGAUGGAGAAGGCAGGAGAACACUUCAGAAGAUGGGCCAGCCUCUGUGGACUCACCAGGCGUGAUGGCAGAAAAGAUGCUGUGAAUGUCACGUAUGCUUCCUGGCUACACUCAAGUUCUCAAGGAAUGGAUGUGCCUGAUCCCCUGUCUUACCAGAUAAGGGCCCUCACUGAGGAUGCUCUAGGAACCCACAAGGUGAAGAAGAGGUGCCCCUUCCUUGAAGGUGGCCUUUUCAAUCCUUCCAGCUACCAGUCAGUCCACAAGCACUUAUGGGACACCAGACCUUGCCUGGAGCAGCCUUGGGGAAUCAAAUAGGAGCCAGUCCCUGCCCUCCAGAAACUGUGUGUCUGGGGGAGAAGAUCACACACAGGAAAAUCAAGUGGUGACAAGAGGUGCCAUGAGACAGUAUAUAGUUCAUUUCCCCACCGCAAGAGUAAAGGGCUUAGGGUCAGAGGCUUUGGUGCCUGAGUUCUGACUCUGCCAAUUAUUAGCAUUGGGACCUCAGACUCAGCUGGCAGAGAGGAGAAGCAGCGGGACAUCAGGACUAUGGCUGGACGUCAGAGAGAAGCAGCUUAACUUCAGAGGUGCAGCUUGAUGGUGUAACUUAGGAGAAGAAUCUGACUGGAGACGGCCAGACUUCAGAAGAAGAUGACCUACCCCCCCAUCCCCUUUUCAGCUUCCCUUCCCGCUGAGAGCCACUUUUAUUGGCAAUAAAAUCCUCCACAUUUACCACC